UACGUAGGGUGCAAGCGUUGUUCGGAAUUACUGGGCGUAAAGAGUGUGUAGGCGGUGCUCUAAGUUCGGUGUGAAAUCUCCCGGCUUAACUGGGAGGGUGCGCCGGAAACUGGAGUGCUCGAGCGUGGGAGAGGAAAGCGGAAUUCCUGGUGUAGCGGUGAAAUGCGUAGAUAUCAGGAGGAACACCUGCGGUGUAGACGGCUUUCUGGACCAUUGCUGACGCUGAGACACGAAAGCGUGGGUAGCAAACAGG
rnacentral:rRNA from 1 species